rnacentral:lncRNA from 1 species
AAAUUAACUUUACAAGUAACAAUUUAACUUACAUGCUAACCUAUUAUUACUAGAGACUCAUAUGUUCCAGCUCAGAGAAACUCUCCAGCCAGCAGCACUAAAAUUACUUUAGAAUAGCUUUACCACAAUUACUAGGAGAACUCCUUUGGCCUUAAAUAAUAGCACAUGAAUAGCAGUAGCCUAUGAGGUUUUAAAGGCAACACACUCACGUAUAUCUUUCUUCAUUGGAUGUUUCCAUGAGAAAAGGUUUCUGCUUGGAUCAAGUGUGAGUUUUUGAAAUCCUCUGAGAACAUUGGGCUUACAGUCAAGGCCAGUGUCCUGACAUUCUGUGGCUGCUAGAAGAAAUCUAACACUAACUGUAAGUACUUCUCUUGAUCAUGCUAAAUUAGUGCAAAAGCCAGAUGAACAAAUGCUGCUGCUCCUCUGUUUCUCACAGGCAGAGUUCUGGUGCUUCCAAACAGUACUGCCCACUACCUCCACCCUCUCUGCCAUCCAGAACAACAGAAGCACAGGUGCAGCAAGUAGAAAAUGAGAAGGGCAAUAAGUCUAUCUUCACUACGGAUUCUGCCUGAUCCCAACUAUAUUCCCACAGUAUGUUGCAGCUAUGGCCUUGCAAUAAGUAAUGGAUUUUGAUGGUCUUUGUGGAUUGGCUGUGGAUUAUGAGCCCAGACUACUAUAUAAAGUACUCAGCCAAGGAAGAGGGCAACAUUUCCAACUGAUGAAGGAAGUUAAACUCAUUAACAUCUGAAUGGGGAGCUGAAAUUAUUUGAAACGUGAAAAUUUAUCACGGACUACAUUUAGUGUUCUACAGAAUAGUGAGAUCAAGUCUGCAUAGAUCUCUGAGUUAGUGCUAAGUGAAAUGACUGAGACCAGAACACUUUAAAAUGAUAAAUUCUUUACUGUUUUAUAACGCUUUUCCCUAUAUUCAUAGACUUUAGGUUGCUUAUGAAAAGUCUGUGUAUUUGCUCUCACACAUUAACUACUUUGUUGUUAAUUUGCUUUUAUUUUAUUAUUAUUUUUUUUCUUCUGAAGCAUAGAAAACAACAGCUUAAUUCAGUGCUCCAUUAUACCCAGGAAAAAUUUUAAAAAAAAUAACCUAAACAUUAGAAUAACUUAGAAAUAAAUAAAUAAAUAAAUAAAGGUGGUUUUUUUUG